rnacentral:rRNA from 1 species
CUUCGGGGACAUUGGUGACAGGUGGUGCAUGGUUGUCGUCAGCUCGUGUCGUGAGAUGUUGGGUUAAGUCCCGCAACGAGCGCAACCCUUGUCUUUAGUUGCCAGCAUUAAGUUGGGCACUCUAGAGGGACUGCCAGGGAUAACCUGGAGGAAGGUGGGGAUGACGUCAAAUCAUCAUGCCCCUUAUGCUUAGGGCUACACACGUGCUACAAUGGGUAGUACAGAGGGUUGC